rnacentral:tmRNA from 1 species
GGGGGUGAUCCGGUUUCGACGGGAUGUGUUGAGGUCAGAUCGCGCAUCGUGGAUUCUCGUUGGCCACGCUAAAAAGCGAGAAAAAACAGUAAUUGCGAACAACGAUUACGCUCUUGCCGCCUAAAUAACAGGCCGCAUGUCGAAGCGCCGAUGUCUGCUGAGCGCCUAGGCAUAAUUUAGCAGAUCACGCUGCAGGGAGCUCCGCUCGCCCGCUGCAGGGUGCCGAAUCGAACGGUUGGUUGGAGAUAAGCCUGUCGCUUGGCGUACUCCAGCCGAGAUCAAUAACCGACUAUGUGCGUAGAAGUUUGGUCAAUGCCAUUUCGGACAGGGGUUCGACUCCCCUCACCUCCACCA